rnacentral:rRNA from 1 species
GCUAUCGCUUACAGAUGGGCCCGCGGUGCAUUAGCUAGUUGGUAGGGUAAUGGCCUACCAAGGCAACGAUGCAUAGCCGACCUGAGAGGGUGAUCGGCCACACUGGGACUGAGACACGGCCCAGACUCCUACGGGAGGCAGCAGUAGGGAAUCUUCCGCAAUGGACGAAAGUCUGACGGAGCAACGCCGCGUGUAUGAAGAAGGUUUUCGGAUCGUAAAGUACUGUUGUUAGAGAAGAACAAGGAUAAGAGUAACUGCUUGUCCCUUGACGGUAUCUAACCAGAAAGCCACGGCUAACUACGUGCCAGCAGCCGCGGUAAUACGUAGGUGGCAAGCGUUGUCCGGAUUUAUUGGGCGUAAAGCGCGCGCAGGCGGUCUUUUAAGUCUGAUGUGAAAGCCCCCGGCUUAACCGGGGAGGGUCAUUGGAAACUGGAAGACUGGAGUGCAGAAGAGGAGAGUGGAAUUCCACGUGUAGCGGUGAAAUGCGUAGAUAUGUGGAGGAACACCAGUGGCGAAGGCGACUCUCUGGUCUGUAACUGACGCUGAGGCGCGAAAGCGUGGG